UUAUAACAUUUCUGCACCGCCCACCUUAAGUGACACAGAAGUGUUUACAGAACUAUAAAAACACAAAUUAAAAACAGAAUGAAAGCAAAGUUAAAAUAAAGCUGUUAAAAAGAGAGGAAGCACUCGCAAGCCACCAAGUAUCCGCUAUCGCUCUUUAGAUCUCCAUGCUAAUUGGCAGAGCCAGGUCCUGACGAUCUUCCGGAAGACCAAAAGAGUGGGGCCCGUCCCUGGGAACUUCCCAGCGUUGCUCUGAAUUAUGCUUUUUACGGAAUUCGGCACGAAGAUGAUCUUGAUCUGGUGGCAGAAUUACUAAGGACUUUCAAGUAUGUCCUGACCAACGAGAGCAUAUUCUUUGAAGUAACGUGUCACUAUAUCCAAUGAUGCUCUGAAAAAGAAGCGAGGAAAGCAUCAGAGAGACAAAUGGUUCCUGAACGUUUAAGAUUUUGUAAGAGAACAUCAGGCAGAUGAUACUUUCUCAUGCAGAGAAAAAUAAAAUAACUUCUGCUGAAAUUGCCUCAUCAGCAUCUAGCUUGCUCCUGCUUGAAACUGGAGGCUUUUUAGCAUUUAUAGUGGUAUGCAAAGUAACAAGUUCUAAUUCUGCAUCAACCUCAUUUUCAAGUAUAAGCAUCUAUCUUAAUUCAUACCACCACAAUGCAGAGUGUUCUGUUUAUUUAUAUGUAUUUAUUUGAUCUGAUGCAAUACAAGUCCAAAUAAUGCUAAGUUUUUGCUUAGACCACACUUCCUUAAAUCCUAUGAGUCUCAAUUCAGUUCAAAAAUGUUUUAGCUUGGAGUGAGGCAUCUAUGGCCUCUCAGUAUUGUUGAACAGUACCAGGUAUUAUUGCCCCAAACAAGAAAAUUGCAAUUCGGCAAUAUUUGGAAAGUUCGAGGCUCCCUACUUGAAGUGUUGUUAGAUAGACUUUAAUUGGAAACCAGUGGGCACCAAGUACUUCACGGCACUUGCACACAUUAUUGAAAACUCGAAAUGUACAUUA